AACGUAGGACACAAGCGUUGUUCGGAUUUACUGGGCGUAAAGGGCCCGUAGGCGGCCAACUAAGUCGGAUGUGAAAUCCCCAGGCUCAACUUGGGAACUGCAUCCGAUACUGGAUGGCUUGAAUUCGGGAGAGGGAUGCAGAAUUCCAGGUGUAGCGGUGAAAUGCGUAGAUAUCUGGAGGAAUACCGGUGGCGAAGGCGGCAUCCUGGACCGACAUUGACGCUGAACGGCGAAAGCUAGGGGAGCAAACGGG
rnacentral:rRNA from 1 species